UACGAAGGGGGCGAGCGUUGUUCGGAAUCACUGGGCGUAAAGCGUGCGUAGGCGGCGAUAAAAGUUAGAAGUGAAAGCCCAGGGCUCAACCUUGGAAUUGCUUUUAAAACUAGAUUGCUCGAAUCUCGGAGAGGAUAGCGGAAUUGUCAGUGUAGCAGUGAAAUGCGUAGAUAUUGACAGGAACACCAGUGGCGUAAGCGGCUAUCUGGACGAGUAUUGACGCUGAGGCACGAAAGCGUGGGGAUCAAACGGG
rnacentral:rRNA from 1 species